AGGACGAACGCUGGCGGCGUGCUUAACACAUGCAAGUCGAGCGGAAAGGCCCUUCGGGGUACUCGAGCGGCGAACGGGUGAGUAACACGUGAGUAAUCUGCCCCUAGCUCUGGGAUAGCUCCGGGAAACCGGGAUUAAUACCGGAUAUGACCACUUUAGACAUCUGCUGUGGUGGAAAGAAUUUCGGCUAGGGAUGAGCUCGCGGCCUAUCAGCUUGUUGGUGGGGUAACGCCUACCAAGGCGACGACGGGUAGCCGGCCUGAGAGGGCGACCGGCCACACUGGGACUGAGACACGGCCCAGACUCCUACGGGAGGCAGCAGUGGGGAAUAUUGCGCAAUGGGCGAAAGCCUGACGCAGCGACGCCGCGUGGGGGAUGAAGGCCUUCGGGUUGUAAACCCCUUUCAGCAGGGACGAAGCGAAAGUGACGGUACCUGCAGAAGAAGCGCCGGCUAACUACGUCGCCAGCAGCCGC
rnacentral:rRNA from 1 species